AUCCUGGCUCAGGACGAACGCUGGCGGCGUGCCUAACACAUGCAAGUCGAACGGAACUGUUUUGAAAGAUUUCUUCGGAAUGAAUUUGAUUUAGUUUAGUGGCGGACGGGUGAGUAACGCGUGAGUAACCUGCCUUCAAGAGGGGGAUAACAUUCUGAAAAGAAUGCUAAUACCGCAUGACAUAUCGGAAUCACAUGGUUCUGAUAUCAAAGAUUUUAUCGCUUGAAGAUGGACUCGCGUCCGAUUAGUUAGUUGGUGAGGUAACGGCUCACCAAGACCGCGAUCGGUAGCCGGACUGAGAGGUUGAACGGCCACAUUGGGACUGAGACACGGCCCAGACUCCUACGGGAGGCAGCAGUGGGGGAUAUUGCGCAAUGGGGGCAACCCUGACGCAGCAACGCCGCGUGAAGGAUGAAGGUUUUCGGAUUGUAAACUUCUUUUAUUAAGGACGAAAAAUGACGGUACUUAAUGAAUAAGCUCCGGCUAACUACGUGCCAGCAGCCGCGGUAAUACGUAGGGAGCAAGCGUUGUCCGGAUUUACUGGGUGUAAAGGGUGCGUAGGCGGCUUUGCAAGUCAGAUGUGAAAUCUAUGGGCUCAACCCAUAAACUGCAUUUGAAACUGUAGAGCUUGAGUGAAGUAGAGGCAGGCGGAAUUCCCCGUGUAGCGGUGAAAUGCGUAGAGAUGGGGAGGAACACCAGUGGCGAAGGCGGCCUGCUGGGCUUUAACUGACGCUGAGGCACGAAAGCGUGGGUAGCAAACAGGAUUAGAUACCCUGGUAGUCCACGCUGUAAACGAU
rnacentral:rRNA from 1 species